UACAGAGGUCUCAACCGUUGUUCGGAUUCAUUGGGCGUAAAGGGUGCGUAGGCGGUCGUGCAAGUCGGAUGUGAAAUCUCAGGGCUCAACCCUGAAACUGCAUUCGAUACUGCGCGGCUAGAGUGCUGGAGGGGAGACUGGAAUUUACGGUGUAGCAGUGAAAUGCGUAGAUAUCGUAAGGAAGACCAGUGGCGAAGGCGAGUCUCUGGAAAGCAACUGACGCUGAGGCACGAAGGCCAGGGGAGCAAACGGG
rnacentral:rRNA from 1 species